GGGCUGCAAUAUCAACCGCAGCCUGUUCACGCUGGGCCAGGUGAUCAAGAAGCUGACCGACGAGAGCCAGAAAGUCUUCACCAGCUACAGGGACAGUAAGCUCACACGGAUCCUGCAGAACUCUCUGGGCGGCAACGCCAAGACGGUCAUAAUCUGCACCAUCACGCCGGCCACUCUGGAGGAGACCCUGAGCACGCUGCAGUUUGCGAGCACCGCAAAAAAAAUGAAGAACGACCCUCAUGUGACGGAGGUGUCCGACGACGGCGCCCUGCUCAACGGUACCGCACGGAAAUCGUGGACCUGAAGCGGCGUCUGCAGGAGGUGAGCAGCCGCACGUUUCCGCCCGGUGCAGUCGCCUCCGUGUUUCCUCGGCUGAAGCUGCAUGCGGCGCCUGCAGGUGUCCUCGGUCACCCAGACCACCGCCACGGAGAAGGAGGUCCUGUCCCAGCUGCUGCAGGAGAAGGAGAUGCUCCAGAGGGAGCAGGAGGACCGGAUCAAGAACCUGACCCAGCUGCUGGUCACCAGCUCCAACCAGGUCACCGUCAAAAAGGUGAGCCUCACGCCAGCCGCUCCUCCUCCACAGAGCGCCCCGGCCCCGCCGCCGGGCGCCCCGGCUCCGCCUCG
rnacentral:lncRNA from 1 species